rnacentral:rRNA from 1 species
AUUGAACGCUGGCGGCAGGCCUAACACAUGCAGGUCGAGCGGAUGAGUGGAGCUUGCUCCAUGAUUCAGCGGCGGACGGGUGAGUAAUGCCUAGGAAUCUGCCUGGUAGUGGGGGACAACGUUUCGAAAGGAACGCUAAUACCGCAUACGUCCUACGGGAGAAAGUGGGGGAUCUUCGGACCUCACGCUAUCAGAUGAGACGAGGUCGGAUUAGCUAGUUGGUGAGGUAAAGGCUCACCAAGGCCACGAUCCGUAACUGGUCUGAGAGGAUGAUCAGUCACAUUGGAACUGAGACACGGUCCAGACUCCUACGGGAGGCAGCAGUGGGGAAUAUUGGACAAUGGGCGAAAGCCUGAUCCAGCCAUGCCGCGUGUGUGAAGAAGGUCUUCGGAUUGUAAAGCACUUUAAGUUGGGAGGAAGGGCAGUAAGUUAAUACCUUGCUGUUUUGACGUUACCAACAGAAUAAGCACCGGCUAACUUCGUGCCAGCCGCCGCCGUAAAAC